UUGAUUGUACCCGCCAGCUGGCUAAUAUCAUAAUUAACAAAGUUGCUACCAUGUCUGAGAAGUUUAAUCGAAAAAAUUGCCGGCAGUAUGAUGCCAUUGUCACAGAGAUCACAAGCGCAGCAGUGUUGACUUUUGUACUGGUGGAGCCGCAGGACUAUGUAGAUGUGCUGAAAAGUCGUUCGCUGGGAUAACUGAAGUGAGAUGUGAUUGCAGACAGCGCGCGGCUGGGCUGUGGUGGAACCGGCCAGUGGCGACCUGCCCUUGCUCUGCUGGCUCCCAGCGGAGCAGCCGUGCCACGGGAUGCAGAAGUUGGGAGCAGCUGCCUGCCAUGAACCUCCACGUGCAGGAAUGCCGGCAGGAGAGCGUGGAAGCGUCAGCGAGGUUUAGCUGGUGGAUCAUAUUGUGAAAUCUGCAGCCAUGAAAGGCCCUCCAUUUACUGCACCCUUCAAAACGAAAUGUUAGCAUGGGAGGCUAAGCUGGAGGCUAAUAACGAAGGAGUCAGUGAAGGAGACCAAUGCCACGAGGGUUAUCUCGCAGCCCCAGAUGCUGGAUAAGUUGAAGGAGGCAGAAUCGCUUUUGGAUGACAUUCAGGAAGGCCUUGAAUGAUUAUCUGGCGAAGAAAAGACUAUUCUUUCCAAGGGUUUUUUUUCCCUAGAUGCAGCAAUGAUCUCUUAGGAAUACUUUUUGAGACAAAGGAUCCACUCCACCUCCAACCACACCUAAGGAAAUGCUUUGAAGGAAUUGACAAGCUCACUUUUAAUCACAAGAGAGAAAUUACCCACAUGGAGUCAGCAGAAAAUGAAAAAGUAGAGCUCACGCUGCGAAUAAUUCCAGCAAAUGCCAAGGGGCUAGUUGAGAAAUGGCUUCAUGAGGUGAAUAUCUUUAGCUCUUACUUAGGGUUUGGUCACUGUAUGAUCAUUUUCUUUUUUAGGAGCAAUGAAUAUUAUAAGCAUAUACUAAACAGCUCUCUGAAUAUUUGUCAAAAUGUUGACGGAUUUCAGCCUUAUUGUUGUUAUUUAUUGUGAGUAAUUUAACAUCUGCAAACACGCAGAAAUUAAUUCUAAUAAAAAGCUCUCGAAUCAGGCUGUCAGCAGAAGUCGGUCUGUGUCUGAAACCAUAUGUCUGAAUAUAUGUUUGAGUCUACAUGUAUGUGUUUUGUGCUUUCAUGGUGUAAUGUCUGUAGUUCAGGAGGAUAAUAUGUAAAAAAUAAUCAAAGAAAUGUAAGAUUUUUGAAUGCUUCCCUCCACCCUGCAGAAAGUGUGUCCCAUUGUGUUGGAGGGGUUUAAUAUCCAAUCAUUUUAACAAAAGGGAAGAGAAAUUAUGUCACUGAUAACAUCCUAACCUUUCCCCUUUGGGGCCUCUAAUCUAAAUUCAUUGGUUUCAGUACGAAAUUAGUUUGGUGACCUUUUUUGUUUGCUUUAUAUAACCUUCCUCUCCCAGUGGAUAGGAAUGGGACCUUCCAUUCUUUUUUCUUUCUGGGCAUUUUUCUUCCACGUGCUUACCUUUCUCCUGUGGCAGGAUCAGCCCCAGGAAUCCCACUUCCCCUGUGAUCAUUGUUGCAGGCACUGGUCUCAUCCUCAGUGGCUUGUCCCUGGGUGCUCCCUAGGCAGGGGUAAGUGGCAGGGACUGGCACCCAGCUCCAG